CGCUGGCGGCGUGCUUAACACAUGCAAGUCGAACGGGAUCAUCGGGCUUUGCUUUUGGUGAGAGUGGCGAACGGGUGAUAAUGCGUGACCGACCUGCCCCAUACACCGGAAUAGCUCCUGGAAACGGGUGGUAAUGCCGGAUGUUCCAGUUGAUCGCAUGGUCUUCUGGGAAAGCUUUCGCGGUAUGGGAUGGGGUCGCGUCCUAUCAGCUUGACGGCGGGGUAACGGCCCACCGUGGCUUCGACGGGUAGCCGGCCUGAGAGGGCGACCGGCCACAUUGGGACUGAGAUACGGCCCAGACUCCUACGGGAGGCAGCAGUGGGGAAUAUUGCACAAUGGGCGCAAGCCUGAUGCAGCGACGCCGCGUGAGGGAUGGAGGCCUUCGGGUUGUAAACCUCUUUUAUCGGGGAGCAAGCGUGAGUGAGUUUACCCGUUGAAUAAGCACCGGCUAACUACGUGCCAGCAGCCGCGG
rnacentral:rRNA from 1 species